rnacentral:rRNA from 1 species
UACGGAGGAUCCAAGCGUUAUCCGGAAUCAUUGGGUUUAAAGGGUCCGUAGGCGGUUUGGUAAGUCAGUGGUGAAAGCCCAUCGCUCAACGGUGGAACGGCCAUUGAUACUGCCAGACUUGAAUUAUUAGGAAGUAACUAGAAUAUGUAGUGUAGCGGUGAAAUGCUUAGAGAUUACAUGGAACUCAUCAUGCGAAGGCAGGUUACUACUAAUGGAUUGACGCUGAUGGACGAAAGCGUGGGUAGCGAACAGG